UUAAAAUAUGAUGUAACUCUCCUCUUUUUGAGUACAAAAUUCUAAGUUUUCAAAGGUUUUGUAUAGAAGAACUAUACAAAUCCUUGGUAUUUCUAUUUUAUUUUUUACAUCAGUAAAAUGACCCCUUGUCUGAGGGAGGGUUGUUCUCAACCUGAUAAUACCAAACACAGGUCAAAGUACGGCCUUUUACACAGGGCUUUGAUACAGACCAAACAGCAAGCUAUAAAGGACCCCAAAAUUAUUAGCGUACACAAUUCGAACAGGAAAACCAACGAUAUAAUUUAUAUAUCCAAACGGGAAAAUACCAAUGAACAACAUCAACAAAC
rnacentral:lncRNA from 1 species